UUCCUAGGUGACACAAGUACAUGCUGUACUGUCUCUGGCUGCUGGCACUGCUCACAUAACCUGGUUGGAUAAUGAGAUGAAGAAAAAUUUGGCAGGAUGACAACAUAAGUGACCCAACACCACUAGAGAGAGCUUCAACAUCAGAGAGUUCACAAUCCACUCAUAUUAAAUUCUGGAGAUUAUGAUUGUGUCGAAGAAACCGGCAGCGGUCGGGAGGCUGAGGCAGGAAAAGUCAACACUAGGAUCAGCAGUGAUUCAUGGAGAGACCUUCGUCUGGUCAGCUAACAUUACUGCCAAGCAGGUGACACAAGAACAUGCUGUACUGUCUCUGGCUGCUGGCACUGCUCACAUAACCUGGUUGGAUAAUGAGGUUAUUUUCUCUGUACUCCUAUAAAGUACAGAGUAGUAAAGUUGUACUUAAGUAAAAGUAGCAAUAUCACAAUGUAAAAAUACCCUUCCAUUCAACAUGUAAGUAAAUAUAAGCACAUUUAUUGUUAGAAAACAUACACAAGAUCACAAAAACAGAAUUUCAUUGCCCACGUCACUUUGGCCACUGAUCAUUGUAUUUAUCAUUUAGGCUGAAUUGCUGACAGCACCAUGUAGUUCAUCGGCCACAAUUUGUUUUUCUGGGUCACCUCUAAAGCCCAAAACAACAAAAAUUAUUUCAAGUAUUUGCUGUGCAACAAAUAUUUUUCCAAGAUUUGGGAGAUUAAGAUUGUU